rnacentral:rRNA from 1 species
UACGUAGGUGGCAAGCGUUGUCCGGAUUUACUGGGCGUAAAGAGCGCGCAGGCGGUCGUGCAAGUCGCGUGUGAAAGCCCCCGGCUCAACUGGGGAGGGUCACGCGAUACUGCUCGACUUGAAGGCAGGAGAGGGAAGUGGAAUUCCCGGUGUAGUGGUGAAAUGCGUAGAUAUCGGGAGGAACACCAGUGGCGAAGGCGACUUCCUGGCCUGUUUCUUGACGCUGAGGCGCGAAAGCUAGGGGAGCAAACGGG